UCGACUUCCCUCUGAGCUUUUCUCCCUUCUUCUCUAUCUCUCCUUCUUUGUUAAAACCACUGAAAAAUGGCAGCUUGGAUGGCUUUUGCUCGUACAGCAACUAAAACAUCAAAUCAAAUAAUAUCAUCGGCGAAUCAAUCUUUGAAACUAAUAUUCCAGCGUCGGCAACUAUGUAAUCUAGCUUGUGAUAAAGGUAAAGCAUACAUGAAGUCAACUACUCUCCUUUCCAUAUAUCUCCUCUUUUUUGGCUCGAAGCGCUCGAUCGCGAGGUAAAUUAGACAAGUUCAUUUCCCUGUAUUCGAUCGUUGAAUUACCUCGCUGAUUCCCAUUAACAGAUCCUCAUGGACCACCAAUGGCUAAGUCAUAUGCAGGUUUCAAGUUUUGUGCGGCAGUAAUUUACAUAGGGUUCUGGGGAUAUGCCAUCUUUGGAGAAGUGCCCAAAAAGAAGAAGAAGUUUAAGAUUGUUACGGUAAACGAUGGAGUGAGAGAUCGACGAGCUAUCGUGGAAUAUCGCUCCUUCUAUCAUUUUGGGUUUUAGAAUUUGUGUAUUUGUAAGAAAAUAAAAACGGAUUAGUAUAAGCUUGUGUUAAAUUUGUUUGGCAGAUUGUCUGACAUUAUUUGCUUUGAAGGGUUGGAUGGUACUCACUGUUGUCUUUUUGAGUUCUUUAUUUUAUUUUAUCUCAGUGCAUUGUAUUUGUUAAUCUUUAUGCAAAAUAAUCGUCUAAUGGUCAUCCAAAGAUGACAUUUUCACCUAAUCCCCUUGAAAAACACUUUGUUUCAAUAGAAAAAUGUUGUAGAUUUAAAGUUUGGGUUGGUAAAUCGUUGUUUGAUGAGUGAUAAGAGGACAAUAGCGCUUACAAUCACUUCCAGUGACGACUUCCGUCCAAGGUGCUGCAUCAGUCUUCUCCGGCGAAUCGCAGCAAUCUGGUCUCUCCUGUUCUAGGCUUUAAUUCUUCCUUCCCUUUUUUCAGUAGUUUGUAAUAGUCUGGUAAGGUCUUUUAUUGACCUAGUUUCUCUUAAAAUUGGGUUUUAAUGGCCUACUAUGAAUAGUCUCAAGUGUUCUCUGUUUGUUCCUUUAUUCUCGGCUUUGUAAUCUUCUCUGUUCUGGGGAUUUCAAGAUUGGGUCGUGCUCUUUUCAGCUUUUGCUGCUACAAUGAUGGUGACUUUUCCUGGCAGAUACAAAAGUUCCGUCAUCUGCUCCGGCGAGUUCAUUGUUCUCUGUGGAAUAAUGUUUCCGAGAAACAAUCAAAGCUUGUCAUACCCAGAUCCUGUAUCGACUUCAAAUACACCAAAAAGGUCCAAAUCUGCUACCACGGCUGCUUGAGGCACUUUUAUUACUAUUCGAGAAAUUUUGGUUUCGUUUUGGAUAUUGUUACUAUUAGUUAUAGGCCGCACAAGUAAUCAAAUAUCACGUCAAUUGUUAUCGUCGUCGACGAAUCAGACUUCAAAACUAAUCCACCGACGACGAGGUCUAGCUACCGGUGCAGAUCAUCAGGUACCCCCAAAGAUGGAUCUCAAGCAGGAAGCCAAAGAUAAAAAAGGAGCUGAUUAUAUCUUAU